rnacentral:rRNA from 1 species
UACGGAGGGUGCAAGCGUUAUCCGGAUUCACUGGGUUUAAAGGGAGCGUAGGUGGGCUGGUAAGUCAGUGGUGAAAUCUCCGGGCUUAACUCGGAAACUGCCGUUGAUACUAUCAGUCUUGAAUGUAGUGGAGGUGAGCGGAAUAUGUCAUGUAGCGGUGAAAUGCUUAGAUAUGACAUAGAACACCAAUUGCGAAGGCAGCUUGCUACACUAUUAUUUGACAACUGAGGCACGAAAGCGUGGGGAUCAAACAGG